UCCAUCCCUGGCCCGCCUCCCACCCUGUCCCUGGGACGGUGCCUGGGGUAGGCAGCUCCAUUAUCCUCCUUGAUGAAAGAGCUCCCAGCGGCACUGGCCACUCCAGAGCCUCCUCCGCAGAAAGCCCGUUCCAUAGCAGCCACCGUGCAAAGUGCUGUAAGGACUGGGGACCUGUCACAGCACAGCCCUGAAGUUGUAACGGCAAUCUUAUUAUCACCCUGGGAGGGGAAACUGACGGAUGUCACAGCAAACACAUGGCAGACCUGGGACUGGAACCCAGAUGCUACCAGGGUCCCUGAAGAGGCAAGAUAUGAGGAAACAGAUGCUGCCAGGGUCCCUGAAGAGGGAAGACACGCGGAAAGAGAAUACUUGGCUUUCUCUGACUCAAGUAAAUGGAAUAUUGAUCACCCUGAAACCCUCUACGCCUGGGAGGGGGCCUGCGUCUGGGUCCCCUGCACCUACAGAGUCCUAGAUGGUGCCCUGGAAAGCUUCAUCCUGUUCCACAAUCCUGAGUAUAACAAGAACAUCUCGAAGUUCGAAGGGACCAGACUCUAUGAAAGCACAAAGGAUGGGAAGGUUCCUUCAGGGCAGAAAAGGGUGCAAUUCCUGGGGGACAAGAAUAACAACAACUGCACACUGAGUAUCCACCCGGUGCACGUCAAUGACAGUGGUCAGCUGGGGCUGAGGAUGGAGUCCAAGACUGAGAAAUGGAUGGAAAAAAUACACCUCAAUGUCUCUGAAAGACCUUUUCCACCUCAUAUCCAGCUCCCUCCAAAACUUCAAGAAUCCCAGGAAGUCAUUCUGACCUGCUCGCUGAAUUUCUCCUGCUAUGGGUAUCAGAUCAAAUUGCAGUGGUUACUAGAGAGGGUUCCAAUGAGGCAGACUGCUGUCACCUCGACCUCCUUGAGCACCAAGUCUGUCUUCACCCAGAGUGAGCUCAAGUUCUCGCCACAGUGGAGUCACCAUGGGAAGAUCGUGACCUGCGAGCUUCACGAUGUGGACGGGAAGGUCCUCUCCGAAGACACGGUGCAGCUGAACGUGAAGCACACCCCAAAGUUGGAGAUCGAGGUCAUUCCCAGUGAAGCCAUAGUGAGGGAGGGGGACUCUGUGACCAUGAUCUGCAAGGUCAACAGCAGCAACCCGGAGUACACGACGGUAUCCUGGCUCAAGGAUGGCACCCCGCUGAAGGAGCAGAAUACACUCACGCUAACCCUGCACGAAGUGACCAAGUCCCAGAGUGGGAGGUACUGCUGUAGGGUCUCCAAUGACGUGGGCCCGGGAACGUCGGAAAAAGUGUUCCUGCAAGUGCAGUAUACCCCGGAACCUUCCAGGGUUCAGAUUGUCCAGUCACCAGCUGUGGAGGGAAAUGAAGUCAAGUUUAUUUGCACGUCACCGGCCAAUCCUCUUCCAACAAAUUACACGUGGUACCACAAUGGGAAAGAAGUGCAGGGAAGGACAGAGAAGGAAUUCCAGAUCCCAAAGAUCCUCCCCUGGCACGCUGGGACUUACUCUUGUGUGGCAGAAAACAUUCUUGGUAUUGGACAGAGGGGCCCAGGAGCUGAGCUGGAUGUCCAGUAUCCUCCCAAGAAGGUGACCAUGGUAAUUGAAAACCCCACACCGAUUCGAGAAGGAGACACGGUGACCCUUUCCUGUAACUACAAUUCCAGUAACCCCACUGUUAACCACUAUGAAUGGAAACCCCGCGGCGCCUGGGAGGAGCCAUUGCUUGGGGUGCUGAAGAUCCAGAACGUUGGCUGGAACAACACAGCCAUCGCCUGCGCAGCUUGUAACAACUGGUGCUCGUGGGCCUCCCCUGUCACUCUGAAUGUCCUGUAUGCCCCCCGAGGUGUGAGGGUCCGGAAAAUCAAGCCCUUUUCUGAGAUUCACUCUGGGAACUCGGUCAGCCUCCAAUGUGACUUCUCAAGCAGCCACCCCAAAGAAGUCCAGUUCUUCUGGGAGAAAAAUGGCAGCCUUCUGGGGAAAGAAAGACAGCUGAAUUUUGACUCCAUCUCCCCAGAAGAUGCUGGGAGUUACAGCUGCUGGGUGAACAACUCCAUAGGACAGACGGAGUCCAAGGCCUGGACACUUGAAGUGCUGUAUGCACCCAGGAGGCUGCGUGUGUCCAUGAGCCAGGGGAACCAAGUGAUGGAGGGGAAGACGGCAACCCUGACCUGUGAGAGUGACGCCAACCCUCCCAUCUCCAGCUACACCUGGUUUGACUGGAAUAACCAAAGCCUUCCCUCCUCUGGCCGGAUGCUGAGAUUGGAGCCAGUGAAGGUCCAGCACUCUGGUGCUUACUGGUGCCAGGGAACCAACAGAGUGGGCAAGGGCCACUCGCCUCUCUUCACCCUCACCGUCUACUCCCGGAGACCAUUGGCAGGCGAGUGGCUGUGGGACUCGGGUCCUGCCUGGCCAUCCUCAUCCUGGCAAUGUGUGGAUUCAAGGUCCAGCGACGUUGGAAGAGGACACAGAGCCAGCAGGGGCUUCAGGAGAAUUCCAGUGGCCAGAGCUUCUUUGUGAGGAAUAAAAAGGUUAGAAGGACCCCCCUCUCUGAAGGUCCCCACUCCCUGGGAUGCUACAAUCCGAUGAUGGAAGAUGGCAUUAGCUACGCCACCCUGCGCUUUCCCGAGACGAACACACCACGAACUGGAAAUGCAGAGACCUCAGAGAUGCAGAGACCUCCCCCAGACUGCGAUGACACAGUCACUUAUUCAGUGUUGCAGAAGCGUCAGGUGGGCGACUAUGAGAACGUCAUUCCAGAUUUUCCAGAAGAUGAGGGGAUUCAUUACUCAGAGCUGAUUCAGUUUGGGUUUGGGGAGCGGCCUCAGGCACAAGAAAAUGUGGACUAUGUGAUCCUCAAGCACUGACGCCGGAUGGGCUGCGGCAGAGGCGCUGGAGGCAGCAGGGGCCCGGGAAGUCCCAGAGCUUCCCCAGACACCACCACACGGCUUCCUCCUCCGCGCAUGCGUACACACACACACACACACACACACACACACACACACACACACACCACACACAUGCUCACUGCGGAGAACCUUGUGCCUGGCUCAGAGCCAGUCUUUUCGGUGAGGGUAACCCCAAUGCUCCAAAACUCCUGUCCUUGUUCUUUUCCACUCUCCUUGCUACCCAGAAACCCAUCUAAACACCUGCACUGACAUGCACACCUCCCCCUGCCCCCACCAUGGCCACUGGCCACCCCCACCCCCAGCUGCUUGUGUCCCUCCUGGGAUCUGCUUGUCAUCAUUUUUCCUUCCCUUCUACAUCUCUCUGGCCCCCUACCUCUGAUCUGACAUCCCCAGUCACAAAUAUUACUCCCAGUUUCUGCCUCUGGGGAAGAGCCCAGAAAAGGACAGAAAUGAAGUAGGAAAGGGCCCAGUCCUGGCCUGGCUUCUCCUCUGGAAGUGAGGCAUUGCACAGGGAGGCGUACAUAACAGCAGCCCCUUGACUCCAGGGACUCCAGGUUUGAGAUGGACGCACUGUUGUGGAUUAACAUGCCAUGGAGACAGAGCUCACAAUAAAAAUGGCUCAGAUGCCACUUCAAAGAA